rnacentral:rRNA from 1 species
GAUGAACGCUAGCGACAGGCUUAACACAUGCAAGUCGAGGGGCAGCAUAGAAGUAGCAAUACUCUGGUGGCGACCGGCGCACGGGUGAGUAACGCGUAUGCAACCUACCCUGUACAGUGGGAUAACCCGGAGAAAUUCGGACUAAUACCGCAUAAAGAUAAACUGAGGCAUCUGAGUUUAUUUAAAGCUUCGGCGGUACGGGAUGGGCAUGCGUAACAUUAGCUAGUUGGCAGGGUAACGGCCUACCAAGGCAAUGAUGUUUAGGGGACCUGAGAGGGUGAUCCCCCACACUGGUACUGAGACACGGACCAGACUCCUACGGGUGGCUG